AUGCACAAUAUUCACUUAAUCCUGACUCCAUCAAACAUGACAAAAGAGCCCCCUCCCCCCCAGAACCUCCACCGCCUCAGGGUGACCCAGAACACCCACCUGUUUGUACUCUUUUUCAGGCUCUCGAUGUCCAGCUUGCGGAACAGGAACCCCUCGUGGUGGGCCGUGUGGGUUGGAGGCUGCGGGACCGCCGGGCUGCUCUGGGCCGGAGCGGACCUGGACCGCCGCGUGGUCUCUCCCGGCUCUUUGGGUCGUGGCCUUCGUCUGGGCUUGGGUCGGUCCCGCGCUCGGGGCCGGUCUGGACGGGAAGACUUCUCUGGGAAACCAUUGGGCAGACGGGGGACCUCGCCACGAGCCUGUGGGGUCAAAGAUUCAGAUCAAAGCAGGAAGCUGCUCUACAAUCUCUGCCAUGGUGGUUCUCUUUUCUCUGCAGAAAAGCAGAAGAUAAAGUCAAAAGUACUGAGGAUCAGAUCAGAGAUGAUGGAGUCCAUCCACAUGAUCUGGUCCCGGACCAUGCUGAAGAAGCGCAGCUUGUCGGUCUCGGUGGUGAUCUGCAGGCGGCACUCCUCGCAGGACGUCAGCAGCUCCUUCCAGCUCUGCAUCACCUCGUGCUCGCAGCAGGCGAUGGCUUCGGCCUUCUCGCCUGCGUACACCGUCCUCAGCUGGGCCGCGCUCUCCUGCAGCUGACGCACCUGAUAGGGGGGGGCAGCUUUUAGGAGACGAGCUCAGCAGAAAGAGACAGAGGACAAAAUGUAUGUUUUCCUAAUGACGCAGUGAACGCAGCUGCUGUUAUUCUCAGGGCACAGAAACGCACACAGCAGCUGCGGUUUUCACUGCAGGACCGAACCAGGUUUAUAUAGAAACCAACGACUUCUUAGUAGUUUAAUAACUUUAAUAUACAACAUUUGUGUCAAGUAAAAGUAAAAAACAGUUAAAAUCAUUGCUUCCAAUCCAACUCAGCUCUCAUCUAGCCAGAAAACAAC
rnacentral:lncRNA from 1 species